AAGCCAGAAUUCUAAAUUAAACUAUCUUCUGA
rnacentral:tRNA from 1 species